AAAUCAUUUUGAGUAGCACUGGAAUAUAAUUUCAUGUCAUAUAAAAGGUUAUUUUACCUCUCUCACAUUGUGAGUACCACUAAAGCCUUUGAUUUCGAAAUUUCUUCACAUUAGGAUUACAUAUAUUUGCAGAGAAACAAUAACCAGAUCUAUAUGCUUCAUCAUGGGUUCCAAUAGUCAUCAACCCUUUCUGAACUCUUCCACCAAUUCCACUUCUAGCUCCAAGAUCCUUGUCUUCUUCCUUUCUCUCCUUGCAAUUGCAUUCUCCUGUGUUUUUCUUGCUCCCCAUUUGAUCAAAGUUGGCUACCACUCUGAUCCAUCUUUUCUUGAGCAUCUAUGUGAUCAAGCCCAUGAUCCUCAAGCAUGUUUACUAAUGAUAUCUAAAGCUGUCACAGAUAAUGGAGUAGUACAAGAAUCAAAUGGCAUCAAUCUACUGAAGAUUUUUCUGGAAAAAUCUCUCUCACAAAUAAGUAUGACAAUGGAAGCUGCUGCCGCAGGUAUGAACUUCCAGGGCAAGGAUCAGAAGGAUCAAGCAGCUCUAGCUGAUUGUUUGGAGCUGAUGGACUUGUCUAUUGAUCGUGUCAAUUAUAUACUAUCUUCUGCAGCCAACUGGAGCACCCACUCUGUUGAUGCACAGACAUGGCUUAGUGGUGUACUCACUAACCAUGUUACUUGCUUCGAUGAGAUUGCCCAUAAAGCCCAACCAUCCAUGAAACUAAUGCUCCAAGAUUUGAUAUCCAAAACAAGAAUAUCUCUAGCAGUUCUUGCUAGUCUUUCAGCCUCUGAGAAGGAUGAUAAUCUCCGGCCAUUAAAUGGGGGAUUUCCAUCAUGGAUCUUGGCCAGGGAUCGAAAACUUAUAGAAAGUUCAUCGAGCAAUAUUCAGGCCAAUGUGGUGGUGGCACAAGAUGGGAGUGGGAACUACAGAACAAUUCAAGAAGCUGUGGCAUCAGCUCCUGAUAAGAGUAAAAGCCGGUAUGUGAUAUAUGUGAAGAGAGGAACUUACAAGGAGAAUGUGGAUGUUGGGAAGAAGAAGAAGAAUGUAAUGAUUGUGGGUGAUGGUAUGGACUUGACCAUCGUUACUGGUAGCCUCAAUGUGGUGGAUGGAUCAACAACCUUCAAAUCAGCAACCCUUGCUGUUGCAGGGGACGGAUUCAUACUACAAGACGUUUGGGUCCAGAACACAGCAGGACCAGAGAAGCACCAAGCUGUAGCACUUCGUGUUAGUGCAGAUCAAUCUGUCAUCAACCGUUGCCUUAUAGAUGCAUUCCAAGACACUCUCUAUGCACAUAACUAUCGACAGUUCUAUAGAGAUUGCUCCAUAACUGGAACAAUUGACUUCAUAUUUGGUAAUGCAGCUGUUGUUCUCCAAAAAUGCCAAAUUAUCGCUCGAAAGCCUAUGGCAAAACAGAAGAACAUGGUCACUGCACAGGGUCGUAUAGACCCAAAUCAAAACACUGGAACAUCAAUCCAGGACUGUAACAUUAUUGCAAGCCCUGACCUUGAAUUAGUACAAAAUUCCUUCCCUACAUAUCUUGGUAGGCCAUGGAAAGAGUAUUCGAGGACCGUGGUGAUGCAGUCUCACAUUGGUGGGCAUAUUGAUCCUGCAGGUUGGGCAGAGUGGAAUGGGGAUUUCGCAUUAAGGACUUUGUAUUAUGGUGAGUAUGCAAAUAGGGGGCCAGGCGCAGGCACUAGCAGGCGAGUGAAGUGGCCUGGUUACCAUGUGAUUACAGAUCCAAAUGAGGCCAGGAAAUUUACUGUUGCAGAGUUGAUACAAGGGGAAGCAUGGCUAAGUUCCACUGGAGUUUCUUACACUGAAGGACUAUAAUUGAAGAAAAACAUGUGCUACUCUCUCAGUUUCAGGCUAUCCUUUUCUUAUUAAAUAAUGUUGUAUGAGUAGCUAUUUAAUGCCCUGUGUUUGUCAUUUUAUGAUUUGGAAAAGGUUCCAUCUUUAAUUACCAACCCAAUAACCUAAUUAACCUCUUUGAUUUGUAAUAAUUGCAUUGCUAAUCUUGGCUUAUUUUUACUUUCUUUAUAAAAACUCAAACUAAUUGGGAGAUAAAGAUACUAAUCUGCAAGUAUUUGCGUAAAUGGUACUGAAAGGCAAAAUUUGACCACAUAUUGGACACAGACAAAGGGACUGUGGAAUAAGGGAUUGUGGAAGACGUCAACUGAUGCUAAAUCUAGCAUAUGGUAUGGUAAAGGAGAGUAUAAAAUAGUUAAAUCAUUGCAAAAAAAGGGCUCAAGAAUGGCAGACAAGUAAAUGAUGGAGUUGCAGGGAGCAUGUGCAAGGGAUGGGAUGGACAUGGAUAUGGAUUGGACAAAACAUUCAAAAUAGCAGGGCAUCAAAUUUGGACUCUCUGUGAUGGUGGAAACAAAUAUCAAUAUUGUAGUUGCCACAACUCAUUUCCACUUACCAUGUUUACUAAAAU
rnacentral:misc_RNA from 1 species